UCUCCUUCUCUGUUCUUUCUUUUUCUUCUCCUCCUCUUCUCUUCUCCCUUAUUCUUCUUCUCUUCUUUUCAUCUCCUUCCCGAAGCUUUCCCUUCCCCAUCUUCUCCCGCAAUCAAGGGAGGGCGAUGGAGUUCUCGGGAGGGGCCGACCUCAAGGCCGGCGGCACUGCAGUCAAAGAUCCACCGCUAAGGCGUAAUUUAUGAAGGGAGAGAGAGGUUAAGGGUCUACCUAGCUCCGAGGAGGAGCCGAGAAGCCUCUUCUGGUAGUUCGGUUGCUCCUCCGGCUGCUCGAGACCUCCUACUCCAAUGGCGUCGCUCCCGGUCCAGUUCCUUUGCACCGAAGGAGGAGAGAGCGAUGGAGUCCCUAUGUAAGUGAUCUGUGGGCUUUUUAUAGCCCUCUUCGAGAAGAAGGAAGAAAUGGAAACGUGGUGGUGAUCGUGGCUCGCUCACCGCCGCAAUGCUGGUGGCGGUUGUGCGAGAUCCGCGGCGUCUCCACUCUCAUAACGCCUCCGUUACCCCGAGGAAGAAUACUAGUGUAUCGUGAUCGAGAUCCCCUGUCUCGGUCUCAUUUCGACCAUGGGCUAAAGCCGGUGGGGCUUGCCGGCUUCGGCCCAAUCUACCCAAAAUCCAAUCAGUCCAUUUUGGGCGGGAUAUUAUAAUAUUAUGCUUUGACAAAGAAAAUCCCACUGAUAAAUACUCCUUUAAAUCUCUUCUGUAUAGUUCAUUAUGUAGCUAUGAAAUGUUACAUGUGCAAUGUGCCGUCAAAUGCUUUCAUUUCA